GUUUGCCGGAAACACACCGGGGCUUAAAGUCGUUGUCAAAUUUUUCCUUCCCCUUCGCACCUUGGCCUUCUUAAGCUCACGCAAGUCGUGUAAGUGUAAAUGUGAUUACACACAACCUUUCACUAUUCUAGUUGUGAAACAUACGGGCCGCACACGUGUCACCCAUACCAUUGACUCUCCACCUUUUCUCUUAAAGUGAAAAGUUGACGAUGCUAGCGGCGUGCACUGCUUCUCUGCAGCACACCUCACCAACUGGAACUUCAAAUAAUAAUCCCUCCCUCCGGUAGGGGACCUGCGGAGAUCAUUGGGUCAGGUUGUGCUGGCUGAAAAGCAAGUGCACGCCUGCUCAUAAGCAUUCAAACCUCUGUGCACCUUUCAUAGAAUAGCUUGUAGAUUGGGUGACCUGUGUCACUUGGUUUGCAGCUGCUCUGUGUUUUUACAAACUUAUAAAUCAGUUCAGAAUGUUUAUUGUGUAAAUACACAUUUUUAUACAACUUUCAGCAACGGAUCUCUUGGCUCUCGCAUCGAUGAAGAACGCAGCGAAAUGCGAUAAGUAAUGUGAAUUGCAGAAUUCAGUGAAUCAUCGAAUCUUUGAACGCACCUUGCGCUCCUUGGUAUUCCGAGGAGCAUGCCUGUUUGAGUGUCAUGGUAUUCUCAAUUCUCUAGGUCUUUUGUAAGACUCUGGUGAUAUUGGACUUGGAGGCUAUUGCUGGAACCUUGCAGGUACCUGCUCCUCUCAAAUGCAUCAGUAUGAAUGUUCACUUCAUGCUCAGUGUGAUAAUUAUCUGCACCAUAAAUUCAUGCUUCAAACUGUCGUCAAGACAAUUCAUUUGACUUCUGACCUCAAAUCAKGUAGGACUUGUGUCUGAGUGUACCCGCUGAACUUAMGCAUAUCGUAGGCGGGAAAGGAGAGAUACUUUAUUGAAUUCCAAUUGGGUCAGGUUGUGCUGGCUGAAAAGCAUGUGCACGCCUGCUCAUAAGCAAUCAACUCUAUGCACUUUAAGGUUCAGAUGUUUAUGUGUAAAUACACAUUUAUACACUUCAGCAACGACUGUGGCUCUGCAGCGUAAAAAGGCAGAAAAGCUCGUAGAUGGGGUGACCUGUGUCAUGGUUUGCAGCUCUCUUGUUUUUACAAACUUAUAUAACCAAUGUGCUUAGUAUGUGAUUGCAAAUCAUGAUCACGAACUUUGACGCACCGGGCUCGUGCUUGUCUAUACGAACACGCCUGCGAUGUGAGGGACGGCUACUUCACUCUCGUUUGUUUGUGAGAACAACGCAGGUCUACUACAUCGCGCUUGUGGAAUAUUUCGGUUCAGGUUCAAUUCCAGGCUCAAACUGCGAACUCUACUGCUUGUUGAUGAAGAGUUGGGAGCGUGUUGGCAACACCUGGGAUGCUCCCUCUCUAUGAAGGCAUUUAAACCGAUGUAACGUAUAUGCCGAAGAAGAUAA
rnacentral:rRNA from 1 species